rnacentral:rRNA from 1 species
UACGGAGGGUGCAAGCGUUGUUCGGAUUUAUUGGGCGUAAAGCGCGUGUAGGCGGUUUCUUAAGUCUGAUGUGAAAGCCCUGGGCUCAACCCAGGAAGUGCAUUGGAUACUGGGAAACUUGAAUACGGGAGAGGGUAGUGGAAUUCCUAGCGUAGGAGUGAAAUCCGUAGAUAUUAGGAGGAACACCGGUGGCGAAGGCGGCUACCUGGACCGAUAUUGACGCUGAGACGCGAAAGCGUGGGGAGCAAACAGG